UCGAGAAUCUUUCGCAAUGGGCGAAAGCCUGACGAAGCGACGCCGUGUGAGCGAAGAAGGCCUUCGGGUUGUAAAGCUCUUUCGCUAGGGAACGGGUACUUGGUAAAGAAGCACCGGCUAACUCCGUGCCAGCAGCUGCGGUAAUACGGAGGGUGCAAGCAUUGAUCGGAAUUACUGGGCGUAAAGGGCGCGUAGGCGGCCGAGAAAGUCAGAUGUGAAAUUCCGGGGCUCAAUCCCGGAGCUGCAUUUAAACUUCUUGGCUAGAGGAUGGUUAGGGAAACGGAAUUCCACGUGUAGCGGUGAAAUGCGUAGAUAUGUGGAAGAACACCAGUGGUGAAGACGGUUUUCUGGGCCAAACCUGACGCUGAGGCGGAAAGCUAGGGGAGC
rnacentral:rRNA from 1 species